rnacentral:rRNA from 1 species
UACGGGGGGGGCAAGCGUUGUUCGGAAUUACUGGGCGUAAAGGGCGCGUAGGCGGCCUACUAAGUCGGACGUGAAAUCCCUCGGCUCAACCGAGGAACUGCGUCCGAUACUGGCAGGCUGGAAUCCGGGAGAGGGAUGUGGAAUUCCAGGUGUAGCGGUGAAAUGCGUAGAUAUCGGGAAGAACACCCGUGGCGAAGGCGGCUCUCUGGAACGGUACUGACGCUGAGACGCGAAAGCGUGGGGAGCGAACAGG